AUGGACACCAAAUUCAUGAUAACUGGAACUCCGGUGGAACACUGGGCUUUGAUGCUCUUGCAUCGCGCCCGGCAGCUCCCAUCCCGCUCUCUCCGCACCGUGGCCUCCGAGUCCGAGCUCGCCUGCAUCUACUCAGCCCUCAUCCUGCGUGAGGACGAUGUGACUGUCACGGAGGAUAAGAUCAACGCUCUCAUUAAGGCCACAGGUGUGACUGUGGAGGCUUUCUGGCCUGGCUGGUUUGCAAAGGCCCUGGCCAACGUCAACAUUGACAGCCUCAUCUGCUCUGUGGGGGCUGCCCCAAACACUACUGCGGCCCCAGCAGAGGAGAAGAAUGUGGAAGCAAAGAAGGAAGAAUCUGAGGAGUCUGAUGAUGACAUGGGCUUUGGUCUGUUAGACUAAACCUUUUAUAAUAUGUUCAAUAAACAGCUGAACUCUGGAAAAAAAAAAAAAA